GAAACUGCGAAUGGCUCAUUAAAUCAGUUAUCGUUUAUUUGAUAGUACCUUACUACUUGGAUAACCGUGGUAAUUCUAGAGCUAAUACAUGCUGAAAACCCCAACUUCGGGAGGGGUGUAUUUAUUAGAUAAAAAACCAACGCCCUUCGGGGCUUCUUGGUGAUUCAUGAUAACUUCACGGAUCGCAUGGCCUUGCGCCGGCGACGGUUCAUUCAAAUUUCUGCCCUAUCAACUUUCGAUGGUAAGGUAUUGGCUUACCAUGGUUUCAACGGGUAACGGGGAAUUAGGGUUCGAUUCCGGAGAGGGAGCCUGAGAAACGGCUACCACAUCCAAGGAAGGCAGCAGGCGCGCGAAUUACCCAAUCCCGACACGGGGAGGUAGUGACAAUAAAUACUGAUACAGGGCUCUUUUGGGUCUUGUAAUUGGAAUGAGUACAAUUUAAACCUCUUAACGAGGAACAAUUGGAGGGCAAGUCUGGUGCCAGCAGCCGCGGUAAUUCCAGCUCCAAUAGCGUAUAUUAAAGUUGUUGCAGUUAAAAAGCUCGUAGUUGAAACUUGGGCCUGGCUGGCAGGUCCGCCUCAC
rnacentral:rRNA from 1 species